CCAAAGGCUCUUCUAAGAGCCACCCACUCACUUCACUGAAAGAGCU
rfam:Alligator mississippiensis ScZkoYb_172, whole genome shotgun sequence.